UGAGGAAUAUUGCACAAUGGGGGCAACCCUGAUGCAGCGACGCCGCGUGGGUGAUGAAGGUUUUCGGAUCGUAAAGCCCUUUUCUGCAUGACGAGCCAAGGACGGUAGUGCAGGAAUAAGUGUCGGCUAACUACGUGCCAGCAGCCGCGGUAAAACGUAGGACACAAGCGUUAUCCGGAAUUACUGGGCGUAAAGGGCGUGCAGGCGGUUGCGUAAGUUAGGCGUGAAAGACUUCGGCUAAACCGGGGGAGGUCGUCUGAUACUGCGCAACUAGAGUAUGGUAGAGGCGUGUAGAAUUCCGGGUGUAGCAGUGAAAUGCGUAGAGAUGUGGAGGAACACCGAUGGCGAAGGCAGCCCCCUGGGCCAACACUGACGCUCAGGCACGAAAGCGUGGGGAGCAAACAGGAUUAGAUACCCCAGUAGUCCCUGAGCGGGCUGGCAAGGCGCAU
rnacentral:rRNA from 1 species